rnacentral:rRNA from 1 species
UACAGAGGGUGCAAGCGUUGUUCGGAAUUAUUGGGCGUAAAGGGCGCGUAGGCGGUUCGGCAAGUCUCUAGUGAAAUCUCUGGGCUCAACUCAGAGUCUGCAGGCGAAACUGCCGUGCUGGAGUGUGGGAGAGGUGCGUGGAAUUCCCGGUGUAGCGGUGAAAUGCGUAGAUAUUGGGAGGAACACCUGUGGCGAAAGCGGCGCACUGGACCACAACUGACGCUGAGGCGCGAAAGCUAGGGGAGCAAACAGG